rnacentral:rRNA from 1 species
UACGUAGGGUGCGAGCGUUGUCCGGAAUUACUGGGCGUAAAGAGCUCGUAGGUGGUUUGUCGCGUUGUUCGUGAAAACUCACAGCUUAACUGUGGGCGUGCGGGCGAUACGGGCAGACUGGAGUACUGCAGGGGAGACUGGAAUUCCUGGUGUAGCGGUGGAAUGCGCAGAUAUCAGGAGGAACACCGGUGGCGAAGGCGGGUCUCGUGGGCGAGUGAACUGACGUGGAGGAGCGAAAGCGUGGGGAGCGAACAGG